GACGAACGCUGGCGGCGUGCCUAAUACAUGCAAGUCGUGCGGACCUUGUUGAAAGCUUGCUUUUAAAAGGUUAGCGGCGGACGGGUGAGCAACACGUUGGCAACCUGCCUGUAAGACUGGGAUAACGCCGGGAAACCGGGGCUAAUACCAGAUCGUUUUUUCCUCCGCAUGGAGGAAAAAGGAAAGGCGGCUUCGGCUGCCACUUACAGAUGGGCCCGCGGCGCAUUAGCUAGUUGGCGGGGUAAUGGCCCACCAAGGCAACGAGGCGUAGGCGACCGGAGAGGGGGAUCGGCCACAUUGGGACGGGGCCAGGGCCCAAACGCCUACGGGAGGCAGCAGUAGGGAAUCUUACGCAAUGGACGAAAGUCUGACGGAGCAGCGCGGAGUGAGUGAAGAAGGCCUCCGGGUCGUAAAACUCUGUUGCCGGGGAAGAACAGGUUCCGUUCGAACAGGGCGGCGCCUUGACGGUACCCGGCCAGAAAGCCACGGCUAACUACGU
rnacentral:rRNA from 1 species